ACAAUAAAAUCAUCUUCAUUAAAGCUUUGUAUAUUCCAAUUAAUUUACAAAUGUAAGUGUUUAAAAAUUAGAGAUAGGUUUUGCCGGUUGUUGAUGAGUGAUGAAUACCAGCUGUGAAUUUUCUCAACGCGUGUAAGCAGCCACGACACAGGAAACCGAAACAGUGUUCCAAUAUAAAGUGAGGGUCCUUGACAGUGGCCGAACCCGCAUACUACACGAUAUAAUGAUUCCCCACCUCGGGAGCUAUAGGGAACGAAUUGAGACACAGCCCUGGAUGUAAUCACGUCUGUGCUGAUCACGUGCCUGUACACAAACCCGCAGCUCACUUGCAAAAGAUUAUCCGGUUAUUUAUUACACGUAAAGUAAACGUUUUUAAUGUUAUCAUGAAUCAAUGUUAUAGUUUUGUAUGUCACAUUAUUUUUUGAGAAGAGUCAUGACUGAACGCGGACCUUACACGCUGUUAUUUUUUUGUGUGCGUAUGGCCAAGGUACAGUGCGCUCUUUUGCACUAUGACCAGCCAUCAGUAAAUCGAAAUACAGUAAAAAAAAUGAGCGCGAAACCCUGACACUUUACAGAAAGGCACGGAUAUCCCCGCCCGAAGAAAAAAAGAACACAGGACAAUGGUUGCAAGUUAAACAGCUGAACAUUUCACCAUCUGCAAAGAACAUUUCACCAUCAACAUAUUAACAUAAACGGUUCUCUUUUUCUUGUUUGACUGCGUUUGGUACAGGUCACAACAACGACGGCAGAUGUAGAGACCACGCUUUCCCUUGCUUCCACUCCACGGCUGAUCAUGCUUGAGGAUCCAGCUCUACAAAACAAAAAAUGGAUGCUGCCGAUUGAAGGCUAAGUCCGAUUUCCUGCGAUUGACCUACCAUUUCUUCAGCAUUUGCUGUUCACUUUGGUUGCUACUACGUGCUCAACAUCGAGUACCAUGUGCAAGCAGCCACUACUUUGGAGUUUAUUCAGAGAUUUAUUGUGAGGAUCAGCCCCGACAACAGCAAGUGCUCCUCAAACUUUCAGGUGAGCAAAAGAAGUGGGAAGAUGGUGCAAAGGAAGAACUCUGGCCUGAACCAUCAUGUAUAUAUCCACCUUUAUUAAGGACUUUAUGAAUUAAGCAAAACUAUUAAGCAACUAAAGCAAAUACAUUCUACUCAACUCACCAGAGGUUUGUGAAGUUCUUUUUUUUCUUAAAGGUUUCUUUUAGUUAAUUUGUCCAUGCACUGAUUUAUAAUAUUGUAAUAUGAAACUCCAGUGUAUACAUGUUACUACUGUUGCUUCUAAAAGCAAAAUAAGUCUAUGCAGGAGAGGUUUUGUUAUGUUUUUUUUUUUUAUUAUUCUUAUAGACGGUUUCAUCGGACGCACAUGACACACGUCUGGAUCCGAUCCUUACUUCCGGUUUCGCUUUUUUAAUGGUCUGACUAGUUGCUAAACUGAUUUCUUGAACAAAAGCCUCGUCGAAAAUAACAAAUGUUUUGGUUUCCGAGCUAAUCUAUGUGUUGUUUUUUUGCUUGUUAUAUAAAUAAAAUGCCUUUAAAGAACUUUGUUGUUUUUUAUUCUUAGCGGAGUUUAUCGGAAGUUCAUGCGGACCGCGACAGCCGCUUGUUUAUGAUGUUACUGCUGAAACCGUCUAUAGUUAUAACUGAAUUUGUACUAGUAUUAUUUGAUAAUACUGUGAAAUGAAACGGUGAGUAAAUGUUACAUUGGCUUUGAAAAAGCUGUUGCUGCAAGAAAUUACAAUUUACUCAGAAUAAUAUUUUGAAUGUAUAAGUUUUUGACAUUGCUUAUGACUGCAUUUGAAUGUAUUGUUCAUGAAUUGAUGCUGUGAUAUGUGUGUGUAAAUGUUUUGUAUUUUACUCAGGAAAGUAUUUUGUAUUUGAACAUUGUUAUUAUGACUGAGUUAGUUCAUGACUUGAUUUAAAAUUCUGUAAUAUGAUAUCUAUGAGUAAAUGUUAUUGCAGGUUUAAGAAAAACAGUUUGUGAUGCAAGCUGAAAGUUCAGUGUGCAAAAAAUAUGAAAAUCUGAUUUCAUGUAUUUGAAAAACUAAAAGAAAUUUUAAAAA